rnacentral:rRNA from 1 species
UACGUAGGGGGCAAGCGUUGUCCGGAAUUAUUGGGCGUAAAGAGCGCGUAGGCGGUCCGAUAAGUCGGCUGUGAAAGUCAGGGGCUCAACCCUUGAAAGCCGGCCGAUACUGUCGGACUAGAGUCCGGAAGAGGCAAGUGGAAUUCCCGGUGUAGCGGUGAAAUGCGCAGAUAUCGGGAGGAACACCAAUGGCGAAGGCAGCUGGCUACACGAAUAUUGACACUGAUGCACGAAAGCGUGGGGAUCAAACAGG